CCAGAGUGCAGCCUCUGCCCGGCCGCCACCCCGUCUAGGAAGUGAGGAGCGUCUCUGCCUGGCCGCCCAUCGUCUGGGAUGUGAGGAGCCCCUCUGCCUGGCUGCCCAGUCUGGAAAGUGAGGAGCGUCUCUGCCCGGCCACCAUCCCAUCUAGGAAGUGAGGAGCGUCUCUGCCCGGCCGCCCAUCGUCUGAGAUGUGGGGAGCGCCUUUGCCCCGCCGCCCCAUCUGGGAUGUGAGGAGCGCCUCUGCCCGGCCGCGACUCCGUCUGGGAGGUGAGGAGCGUCUCUGCCCAGCCGCCCCAUCUGAGAAGGGAGGAGACCCUCCACCCGGCAACUGCCCCGUCUGAGAAGUGAGGAGCCCCUCCGCCCGGCAGCCGCCCCGUCUGGGAAGUGAGGAGCGUCUCCGCCCGGCAGCCGCCCCGUCCGGGAGGGAGGGGGGGCUCAGCCCCCGCCAGGCCAGCCGCCCCGUCCGGGAGGGAGGUAGGGGGUCAGCCCCCCGCCCGGCCAGCCGCCCUGUCCGGGAGGUGAGGGGCGCCUCUGCCAGGCCGCCCCUACUGGGAAGUGAGGAGCCCCUCUGCCCGGCCACCACCCCGUCUGGGAGGUGUGCCCAACAGCUCAUUGAGAACGGGCCAUGAUGACAAUGGUGGUUUUGUGGAAUAGAAAGCGGGGAAAGGUGGGGAAAAGAUUGAGAAAUCGGAUGGUUGCGGUGUCUGUGUAGAAAGAGGUAGACAUGGGAGACUUUUCAUUUUGUUCUGUACUAAGAAAAAUUCUUCUGCCUUGGGAUCCUGUUGAUCCUGUGACCUUACCCCCCAACCCUGUGCUCUCUGAAACAUGUGCUGUGUCCACUCAGGGUUAAAUGGAUUAAGGGCGGUGCAAGAUGUGCUUUGUUAAACAGAUGCUUGAAGGCAGCAUGCUCGUUAAGAGUCAUCACCACUCCCUAAUCUCAAGUACCCGGGGACACAAACACUGCGGAAGGCCGCAGGGUCCUCUGCCUAGGAAAACCAGAGACCUUUGUUCACUUGUUUAUCUGCUGACCUUCCCUCCACUAUUGUCCUAUGACCCUGCCAAAUCCCCCUCUGUGAGAAACACC
rnacentral:lncRNA from 1 species